AGUGAACGCUGGCGGUAGGCCUAACACAUGCCAGUCGAACGGCAGCACAGUAAGAGCUUGCUCUUACGGGUGGCGAGUGGCGGACGGGUGAGGAAUACAUCGGAAUCUACUUUUUCGUGGGGGAUAACGAAGGGAAACUUACGCUAAUACCGCAUACGACCUACGGGUGAAAGCAGGAGAUCUUCGGACCUUGCGCGUUUGAAUGAGCCGAUGCCGGAUUAGCUAGUUGGCGGGGUAAAGGCCCACCAAGGCGACGAUCCGUAGCUGGCCUGGGAGGAUGAUCAGCCACACUGGAACUGAGACACGGUCCAGACUCCUACGGGAGGCAGCAGUGGGGAAUAUUGGACAAUGGGCGCAAGCCUGAUCCAGCCAUACCGCGUGGGUGAAGAAGGCCUUCGGGUUGUAAAGCCCUUUUGUUGGGAAAGAAAAGCAGCAGGUUAAUACCCCGCUGUUCUGACGGUACCCAAAGAAUAAGCACCGGCUAACUUCGUG
rnacentral:rRNA from 1 species